rnacentral:rRNA from 1 species
UACGUAGGGUGCGAGCGUUAAUCGGAAUUACUGGGCGUAAAGCGUGCGCAGGCGGUUCGUCGUGUCCGAUGUGAAAGCCCCGGGCUCAACCUGGGAAUGGCAUUGGAAACUGGCGGACUCGAGUGUGGCAGAGGGGGGUGGAAUUCCGCGUGUAGCAGUGAAAUGCGUAGAGAUGCGGAGGAACACCGAUGGCGAGGGCAGCCCCCUGGGUUAACACUGACGCUCAGGCACGAAAGCGUGGGGAGCAAACAGG